UCAAGAAGUGGCCCAUCUGGGUCAAGUGACAGAGCUGCGCUCCCUGCCGCCACCACCAUGUGACCCCAAGCUCUGCACUGUGUCAUGGCAGUGCCCCCGCUGUCUCUGGGGGACAACACAAGAACUUUUGGUGUGGUGCCCGCCUGCCCUCCCCCACCUGCACCCAGUCACUCGGCUUGAACUGCACCCCUACAGCCACGGUGAUCCCCCCGUUCCUCGCAAAGCCCAGCCCUGACCUUGAGGAUCGGAAACCUCGCCGUCAGGGGUCUCCCCCUCUCUGCCUGGAGACUCUCCAUUUUCCUCCGUCAAGGGAAAGAAUCGGAUUUGCAUCAUCUAAAAAUUCAGCUACUUCAGAACCUGAAAUCAAGUGAGAGGAGCCUCCCGUGGAGUAUCUGAGAAGUCUCAGGGCUGCAAGUUCAUUUGCUGCAGACAUUUGCAGACCCUCCCCGCAUGGCCUUCAGGGCUGGAAGCAGACUGAUGAAGGGCUUCUCCCAGAGUUCCAAGGUGGGGGCGGGGGGUGAUGUUCACUGGUAUACCUCACCCCAGCACUGGCCCACUCCUCCGGGGAGGAGCACCAGGCUGGUAGCAGACAAAAUUGUGAGACUAAAGAAAGGCUACACUUUCCUCCUAGACCUUAUUCCUUCCAUUUCAUUUAGCAUUUGCUUUAUUGCGGAGACCUCCCAACAGCGCAGAAAGCCAUCGAAGGCCGAUGCACCUGUCUCUGACACCUACUGGCUGGGCAACUGGAACAAGGACCCACGGCAUUGUGAAGUAGAGCAAGAAGGCCUUGGUCGGUUUGGUUUGAAGUUCAAACCUUGUCCCACCCCUUAUCACAGUCCCCAGCCUGCUCCAUCUGUGGCUGCUGCUUAUCGCUGAACUGAGUUGGUUCUAGGAGCCAAGCUUGUUUGGUGAGGAAGAGUCGAAGCAGCCGGGCAGGCCCAGGGUGUGCUUCCAGAGAGAUCUGCUUCACACCCCUGCUGAUGGCGCUGGGGUGGCGGGAGCAGCCUUUUCAGGGCUUUUCCAAGCAGUUUCCAAAACUCCGAGGGGCAAUCACAGCGAACCUUCCAUGUCACAGACGGUCAUCCCUGCCAUCGCCUGUCAAACUAGGACACGGGAGGUCACUGCUUGGGUUUUUGGAGGGUUUUGUUUCCUGUUUUGUUUUUGUUUUUUUUUUUUGUCAGAGCAACAUGGGCAUAUGGUCUUUAAAAAUCACAUGAUACUAAAAUGCUCCUAAUGGUCAGCAGUAUCUCUUUGGCCACGCCUUGCUCUUGCCUUUCCAGACGCACCAUGGUCAGUUCUUUCAGCGAUUUCUUCUGGUAUCUAUCUCCACAUUUCCAAAUACGCUUACUCUCAUAUUUCUUGUACCAACUUCAGAUGGUUUCUGUUGACUUUCUGUUACAGUAGGUGAGGGUUUGACAUUUCUGCAGGACCUCCGUCCUCCGACCACAAGUUUCAGUGAGAUCAGUACCCCGUGUGUACUUCAUUAUGACUCUGAAUCAUUCCGGUCUUUGCCAGGUCCUACAAAAUCCUACAGGACCUGACUCCCUCUUCCCCUGCCUGUCUCCCUCUCCAUCACUCCUCUCCAGCAUCAGCGGCCUCCCUGGUUCCUCCAACAGGGGACCACGCUGAGCGUACUCCUGUCCCAGGGCCUUUACACUUGUUCUUCCAACUAGCAGGACACUCUCCUCCCUGAUGUUUGCCUGAAAUCCUUCCUCAUUUCAUUCAUGCAUCCGCUCAAAUACCACCUGAUCUGAGAGAAGUCUUUCCAGAUUAUUUUCCCUCCAUCUGCUUUCCAGCUUUUCUUCACAGACUUACCACACACACACACACACACACACACACACACACACACCCUUUGACAUUUUAUUAUGUAUUUAUUGAUGUAAAUCCUGAUUACAUAUUUGUUGAGGGAAGGGACUUUGUUAACCACUAUGACCCCCGGGGCCCCAGAACAAGCCUGGCCCAUAGCAGGCCAUCAGCAAACACUGGGAGCAACUGAAUGCUGAGCCUAUUGAUUUACUGCGCUUUUGUUUCAUUGUUUAUACAAUUCCUCCCCCCUUCCCCAUAGUUAAUAUCUACCUUGCUUUUUCAUUUAAUUUGUUUUCUCUGGCACACACCCUCCAACAGCCUUUCAAUCCAAUUUUUCAUAUAAACGUAUCAGAUAAUCUCCUGUGUUUAGAAUUUCCCUCUUUGUCUGGGCUGCUAGUAUAGAAUACCAUAGACUGAGUAGUAUAUAUACACACACACACACA